rnacentral:rRNA from 1 species
AUUGAACGCUGGCGGCAGGCCUAACACAUGCAAGUCGAGCGGAGCGGCGGACGGGUGAGUAAUGCCUAGGAAUCUGCCUGGUAGUGGGGGAUAACGUCCGGAAACGGGCGCUAAUACCGCAUACUAUCAGAUGAGCCUAGGUCGGAUUGGCUAGUUGGUGGGGUAAAGGCCUACCAAGGCGACGAUCCGUAACUGGUCUGAGAGGAUUAUCAGUCACACUGGAAGGGAGACACGGUCCAGACUCCUACGGGAGGCAGAAGUGGGGAUUAUUGGACAAGGGGCGAAAGCCGGAUCCAGCCAGGCCGCGUGUGUGAGGAAGGUCUUCGGAUUGUAAAGCACUUUAAGUUGGGAGGCGGUACCGACAGAAUAAGCACCGGCUAACUUCGUGCCAGCAGCCGCGGUAAUAC